rnacentral:rRNA from 1 species
AUUGAACGCUGGCGGCAGGCCUAACACAUGCAAGCCGAGCGGUAGCACAGAGAGCUUGCUCUCGGGUGACGAGCGGCGGACGGGUGAGUAAUGUCUGGGAAACUGCCUGAUGGAGGGGGAUAACUACUGGAAACGGUAGCUAAUACCGCAUAACGUCGCAAGACCAGAGUGGGGGACCUUCGGGCCUCAUGCCAUCAGAUGUUCCCAGAGGGGAUUAGCUGGUAGGUGGGGUAACGGCGCACCUAGGCGACGAUCCCUAGCUGGUCUGAGAGGAUGACCAGCCACACUGGAACUGAGACACGGUCCAGACUCCUACGGGAGGCAGCAGUGGGGAAUAUUGCACAAUGGGCGCAAGCCUGAUGCAGCCAUGCCGCGUGUGUGAAGAAGGCCUUCGGGUUGUAAAGCACUUUCAGCGGGGAGGAAGGCGGUGAGGUUAAUAACCUCAUCGAUUGACGUUACCCGCAGAAGAAGCACCGGCUAACUCCGUGCCAGCAGCCGCCGCGGUAA